CACUCCUGCGGGAGGCAGCAGUGGGGAAUAUUGCACAAUGGGCGCAAGCCUGAUGCAGCCAUGCCGCGUGUAUGAAGAAGGCCUUCGGGUUGUAAAGUACUUUCAGCGGGGAGGAAGGCAAUACGGUUAAUAACCGUGUUGAUUGACGUUACCCGCAGAAGAAGCACCGGCUAACUCCGUGCCAGCAGCCGCGGUAAUACGGAGGGUGCAAGCGUUAAUCGGAAUUACUGGGCGUAAAGCGCACGCAGGCGGUCUGUCAAGUCGGAUGUGAAAUCCCCGGGCUCAACCUGGGAACUGCAUUCGAAACUGGCAGGCUUGAGUCUUGUAGAGGGGGGUAGAAUUCCAGGUGUAGCGGUGAAAUGCGUAGAGAUCUGGAGGAAUACCGGUGGCGAAGGCGGCCCCCUGGACAAAGACUGACGCUCAGGUGCGAAAGCGUGGGGAGCAAACAGGAUUAGAAACCCGUGUAGUCCCAUG
rnacentral:rRNA from 1 species